CCUCCUCCGCCGCCGCCGCCUCCUCGCAGGCUGUGGUUUCUGUAUAUGUUUCUGGAGUCCUGAGCCUGAGCUAAACAAAAGCAGGAGGCUGACGGGGCCGCCGGAGUUUGCAGAGACGCGGAGGAGGAGAGAGCCGGUGCUUUGCCUGCCGGCGGCCGGGGGAUCUGGCUUUGGCCACAGCCCACCCCCUUUGAGAUCACUCUGGCCCGGAGUGGGGGCGGGGGGCAGCGGGGGGUGGGGGGAAAGUUUGCCUCGCAAUCCCCCCGCCUUCCUCUCCUUUCUCCCGAUCAAUGCAUAUUUGCAAAAGGAUUAAGCCACAGAUUUAAGCGCCGGGAGCCCAUUUCUGCCUUGCACUGGAGAUCGGACUGAAAACCAAAAGCCAGCUCUGGUUUCUUUUCGCCAAGUGGGAAGGUGGUUUAUUUUUCUUGCUUUUUGGAGUCAACACCCUUCCCCAUCAGCUCUUAUCCCCACCCUCACCCCGCAACCCCCUCACGCCCCCUCCCCCUCCCCGCUCUCCAUCCUCCCACCAGCCUCCAAAGAGGCAGAGGGAUUUUUUUUUUCUUCUUUUGGUCUUCUUUCCCCGUCCCUGAUUAUCCUGAAAAGGAUCUGAAGGCAGCUUGAAGGAUCAGAAGCCUCGGUGCUCCCGGAGCCGAGCCGCGGAGCAGCGCCGAGAGCCGGGCUGCCAGCCUUCGGAGAUGGACGAGCAGCCCCGGCUGAUGCAUUCCCACGCCGGGGUCGGGAUGGCCGGGCACCCCGGCCUGUCCCAGCACUUGCAGGACGGGGCCGGCGGGG
rnacentral:lncRNA from 1 species